AAUCACUUUACAGAUUGACUCAGGGAGGAGCUGAGCUGUUACUGAACUAUAGAAGAGAGAGGAACUUCUAUAUUCAACAGAGAUCAAUACACAAACCAUCAACAUUACCUUUAUUCAACAUGCUGUCACUGCAGCAUUGUAUGUUUUCUCUGUUGUUUCUUUCCAUCCUCACAGGUAUCAGCUGUGAAGAAAUCACUCCAGUAGAGACAGAAAAGACCAGUUUAGAAGGCAGCUCUGUUACUCUGUCCUACAGAUACUCCAAACAAGUAACUGGUACUGACUAUUUCUACUGGUAUCGACAAUAUCCAGGAAAACCACUGGAGUUUCUCAUCUUUCUCUUGGGAACGCAAAAUGCUGCAAACUCUGGACUGUCUGCUUCAGUAAGUGUGAGUGAGGAUACAACCAAAAUAGAUCUGCAGAUCAUCUCAGCUGCAGUGACAGACUCUGCUGUAUCUCCUCUGCUGCAGUGA